GAUGAAGAACGUAGCGAAAUGCGAUAAGUAAUGUGAAUUGCAGAAUUCCGUGAGUCAUCGAAUCUUUGAACGCACAUUGCGCCCUCUGGUAUUCCGGAGGGCAUGCCUGUCUGAGCGUCAUUGUCAACCCUCAAGCUCAGCUUGCUGUUGGGUCCCCGUCGUUGCUUUAACGGCGGACCCGAAAGGUAAUGGCAGAGUCCGUGAGACCCUAGACGCAGCGAGCUUCUAGCACGCGUCUGGACGUUUUUCGGGCUCGGUCUUAACUAGAUGAUAACUUCCGAUUGACCUCAGAUCAGGUAGGGAUACCCGCUGAACUUAAGCAUAUCAAUAAGCGGAGGA
rnacentral:misc_RNA from 1 species